rnacentral:lncRNA from 1 species
GUUAGCCUCAGCAUAGCCAUAGUUUGGCUGGUCUCCCCAAUAUGGAUUGUAUGUGUCAGGGUAGGGAUCAUGCCUCGGCUGUUCAUAGUAUCUUCCAAACGCAUGUGCUUGUUGGUCAUCCUCAUAAAGUGUAGGGCUUUCAAAAGCUAGAUGUCCCACAUAUGCACAUAUCCUACAUGGCUGAGAUAGCUCAAGUCGUCGAGCCCGUAGUUCUAAGACGUAGGUUUUCACACUUGAGGCUAGGUUAGGAAUUUGAGAAGAAAGAUUAGAUGUACUUACCUCAUCCAUGAUUCAGAUCUGUGAUGGAAGCUUUUUGUGCUCAAAAAUAUAUAUAUAUAUUUUUUUUUUGGAAUCUUAAGGAAGAAUGUCCUUGAGUGCAGAUAUGGCCCUAAAAGAAAAAUAAACAAGUUAGAUCAACUCCCCGGCAACGGCGCCAAUUUUUGACUCGCGGUUGUCGAAGCCGGUCAAAAAUAACCUUUCUGGUUAUCAACAAUUUACAACUGCAGAUAGUGGUGAAAGGAUCGAAUCCACAGGGAAUUGAGACUUACCUAUUUUCCUUAUCAAGACCAAUAAAAUAAACUAAAAUAAAAAUAAACUGCAAAAGAAGAAAACUGAAAACGAGAUAAACUAAAACGAGAAAAAGCUGAAAACGAGAUGAACUGAAAGUGGAAUAAAACUGAAAGAGAAAGAAACGGAAAACAAAAUAAACUAAAACAAGAUAAAACUGAAACCAACUAAACUGUAAGUAAAAUGGGGGGGGUUUUGAGAUUGAUUUAAUUAAUCUAAAACUGAAAGCAAUAAAAAUAAGGCAAAUAAUAAAAAUAAAGAGAAAUAAAUAAUAAGAAAGAUCUAGUUGAAGAAUUGGAUCCACUUUAGUUGUUGGGAUUGAUCAUUGACACUUAGUUUCCUUUGGGUUGCUUCAAUAGAUUAGUUAUGGAGAUGGAAGACGCUUCUCACCACCAUUAUCUCUCCUUAUGAUUAAACCAAUUAGGGAACGUCCUCUAAUUAAUUACUAAUUAACAAAUUGCCAAGGAACGUCCUUGGGCCUUAGGCAUCAAAACAAUUGUCAAUUGCAUUAAGAAAUAGCGAGAUCCAAUCCUAGCUAUCCAAACGUAUGGAGAUAACGCUAGAUCAUACAAUUUCCUUGGAUUUUAUCCCAAGUGUUCUUAUGUAAGAAUAAUUCC